AAAACAAUACAAGGGUGAUUCAUGGUCAAGACACCGAAAUACAUGACAAAAAUCCAAAGUUCCAAACAUGAUACAAAUUACACAUAUUGAUCUAAGGUUGAAUUUGGUAAAUUUGUUGACUUUUUUUGUCAACAAUUGACCAAAGUCAACUUUCUUAUCCCAAAAACUUAAUUUUACUUUCUUCAUCCAUAAGAUACUCCAAAGCAUUCAAGUCCUUUGUGCCUUGACCAAAC
rnacentral:lncRNA from 1 species